UCGGGCAUCGGAAGAGGUUGAAAGCUCCGGCGGUGAAGGAUGAGCCCUGCGGCGUAUCAGCUUGUUGGUGGGGUAAUGGCCCACCAAGGCGACGACGGGUAGCCGGCCUGAGAGGGCGACCGGCCACACUGGGACUGAGACACGGCCCAGACUCGUACGGGAGGCAGCAGUGGGGAAUAUUGCACAAUGGGCGAAAGCCUGAUGCGGCGACGCCGCGUGAGGGAUGACGGCCUUCGGGUUGUAAACCUCUUUCAGCAGGGAAGAAGCGCAAGUGACGGUACCUGCAGAAGAAGCGCCGGCUAACUAC
rnacentral:rRNA from 1 species